rfam:Sarcophilus harrisii ctg7180001519804, whole genome shotgun sequence.
GUCAGGAUGGCCGAGGGGUCUAAGGCGCCAGACUCAAGCGAGAGCUUACUUCGCACAUCGGAGUGUUCUGGUCUCCGUAUGGAGGCGUGGGUUCGAAUCCCACUCCUGACA